CCGAACACCACCACAACAACAAGGAGUGAGAUUACUACAACUGCGCAGGCAGCACUUGGGAGGAAACAAAGAUUGUUUGGGGUGGGGGAGGAACAACGGGACUUCCCAUUCACAGCUCCCCGUUCACCUUUUGAAGUACUGUUUUUAAGGGACUGCCAGUGGGGACCCCCAACUGCCGGACAGCCCUACCUGGUGGGCUCUCCAGAUCUAAAAACGAUCGAUUAAGGCCCAGGUCUCUUUGGACAGAGAAUUUCACCGGACAAGAGUGUGCGCCAGGGAUAACCAGAAGAUUAUCAGAAGAAGCUCACAAGUCCUUUUGAAGGUGGAACAGAAGAGCUGGUCACACAAAUGUCUGUGCUUUCUGCUUUGCUGUUGAGAACAUUCCAGAGCCUGAGGAGGGCAGGGUUUGGGGAGGGGAGAGACUUCAGUGUGGUAUAAAGCCAGAGAGUCAGCCUUCUAAAGCAGCCAUUUUCUCCAGGUAAAAUUGAUCUCUGUCACCUUGAGAUCAGUUGGCAUCCUAGGAGAUCUGGAGGUUGCCAACCCUGACUCUAGAGUGAGAAAUUACUCAGGUGGUUGACAUGAUCACUCCCAGUUCACUCCCAAUACCGAUUGGUGGUGGGGGGUGGGGCGAGAUAGUAAGCUACUUUGAAGUAGAGAAAAGUAGGAUAUAAAAACUAACUCUUCUUCUUCUUCUUCUUCUUCUUCUUCUUCUUCUUCUUCUUCU